rnacentral:rRNA from 1 species
GAUGAACGCUGGCGGCGUGCCUAAUACAUGCAAGUCGAGCGAACGGACGAGAAGUUUGCUUCUCAGAUGUUAGCGGCGGACGGGUGAGUAACACGUGGAUAACCUACCUAUAAGACUGGGAUAACUUCGGGAAACCGGCGCUAAUACCGGAUAAUAUUUUGAACCGCAUGGUUCAAAAGUGAAAGACGGUCUUGCUGUCACUUAUAGAUGGAUCAGCGCUUCAUUAGCUAGUUGGUAAGGUAACGGCUUACCAAGGCAACGAUGCAUAGCCGACCUGAGAGGGUGAUCCGCCACGCUAGAACGUAGACACGGUCCAGACUGCUACGGGAGGCAGCAGUAGGAAGGCUUCCAGAAUGGGCGAAAGCCUGACGGAGCAACGCCGCGUGAGUGAGGAAGGUCGUCGGAUCGUAGAACUCUGUUAUGAGGGAAAAUCAUAUGUGUAAGUACCUGUGCACAUCUUGACGGUACCUAAACAGGAAGCCACGGCUAACUACGUG